GCCUAGAUAGCUCAGUUGGGAGAGCGUUAGACUGAAGAUCUAAAGGUCCCUGGUUCGAUCCCUGGUCUGGGCA
rnacentral:tRNA from 2 species